CUACGGGGUGCAGCAGUCGAGAAUAGUCUACAAUGGACGAAAGUCUGAUAGUGUGACGCCGCGUGGAUGAAGAAGCAUUUCGGUGUGUAAAGUCCUUUUCUGUGUGAGCAAUGUUUUCCAGGUUAAUAGCUUGGAGAAAGCGAUAUUAACACAGGAAUAAGCUCCGGCUAACUCCGUGCCAGCAGCCGCGGUAACACGGGGGGAGCAAGCGUUGUCCGGAAUUACUAGGCGUAAAGGGUAAGUAGGCGGAAUUGUAAGUCAGAUGUUAAAGGCACCGGCUCAACCGGUGUAUGGCAUUUGAUACUGUAAUUCUAGAGUAAGGUGGGGGAAGACGGAAUUCCUGGUGUAGCGGUGGAAUGCGCAGAUAUCAGGAGGAACACCAGAGGCGCAGGCGGUCUUCUAUACCAUUACUGACGCUCAAUUACGAAGGUGUGGGUAUCAAACAGGAUUAGAUACCCCAGUAGUC
rnacentral:rRNA from 1 species